GCGGCCAACAGCAGAGCCCAGCACGUCGUGGCCGUCCAGUUCAUCUUCGUGGGGCGAAUCCUGUGGGAAGACGGAGCACAUAGCUGGGCCGUGACUUUGUCUCCUGCCUGACAGUCUCUGCCUCCACCUGAGGUCUGGCGUUCAGUUCCCUUGGAUAUACACCCAGGAGUGGCAGUGCUGGGCCCGGGGGUCCUGGCCCUUGGGCAGCUCGCUCUUCCUGGGCAACCUGGGGGACCAGGCCUGCAGAGGGCCUGGGUGGUCCUGGCCCUCGGGUGGCUCCCCUGUCCUGGGCACAAGCCGCCUGGGCCUUCUCACCUCUUGAGUGGUCUUGUCAGUGGGAAAUCAUGGAUUUGAACUGCCUGUACCUAUCACAGGGAAAUUAUCAGAAAUAGGGGAACAACUUUUGGCCAAUGCAUGUUUGUAAGAGCAUCAGUGGUCUGACGUGAGAGGUUGGGGGCGGCACUGUGGUGGGCGUGUGGUCCUGGAGCGCCUCGGAGAGGGGAGGUCUCGAGACUCACACCGGGAGGAGGAGCUUAGAGGCGGCGGUGGAGCUCAGGGUGGUGGCUUCCAAGUGCAGAUAUUCUCCAGACUCAUUGGAUGAUACGUUAAGUACGUACAGCGUUUUUGUACAUCAACCACACGGUAAAAGAGAAGAAACGAGCUCAGAAGUGAGCCUGCGUGUGAGCCCUAAAAGCUGACAGGGUAAAACGAGACCAGACACGCUGGCUGUCUGUGUCUCAGAAAACCUUCCACUUCUGUAUCUUCCCAAUUCCUAGGGUGUCAUUAUACUUGGGAAGAUAGGUUUACUGAGCCAAAUGGGGAGCGGCCCCCUGUUUUCCCAGACAAGCGGCAGCCCCACAGCGGGUGCUGACUGGGAAGUCCAUGCACCUGCCUCGGGGGAGACCUCCCAUCAGCUUUUAAUGAGCUCCCGGUUAGAGGCAGCCCGGACUCCAGGGCCUCAGCGGCCCCGAGGUGGCACCGGAGUGCCCAGGGCCGGUAAUACUCCUCACCAGGCCUGGCAGCAGGGCUCAGUGCACGUCCUGGCUGCCAAGCACCCCUUGUCUCUGGGCCUCAUCAGGACCUGCUCUAGCGGGCACCCACCCUGACUGCAGAUGGGGGAAACAGGCUGAGCACUGGGGGGCACACUCCCAUCACCUCCCAGGAGCCCUGCCCCAGGCAGCCAAGACCUUGGCACAUUCAGUGUCCUGCCAGCCAGCCCAACUCCACACAACCCUGAGGGUGCCCCACAGGUGUACAGCAAAGCCCUCCGAGGGAGAUGCUGGCACAGCUCAGAGGGUGAGCCCUUGCCCACAGCAGCCCGACUGCCAGCAGCCCACCCACAUCACAGCUUCCUCCCAUCCCCACUGGGCUGGGGCACCCCGCACAGGGCAGCAGCAGACCCCAGCUAGGCUCUGGCGGCAGCUAUUUCUGGAAGGCGAGGCCAGGAGUGGGGCAGCCUGCGGUUUGCUUUCCAACCUGUGGGGUGUCAUCUCCUAGUUUACAGAGAGCGAAGCUGAGGUGCAGAGAACCUGCCAGGAGCACCCAGUGCCCUGUGACAGCCUGGGCCUGGAGCCCCACCCCAGCCCCCACUCUCACAGAGUGGGCACCAGUGCAGGGCAUGGCCCAGGAGACAGCCCAGCGCAGGUGAGGAAUGGCUGCCAGGCAGCACCAAGGGUAGGAGGCCCUGCUCAGGCCCUGCACCACCCCCGAGCCCUCCCCAGCCUCUGCAGAACUGGCAAGACCCCCUUGCAGGCCUGAGCCCUGGGGAGGCCAGGUGGAGGGCACGAGUAAGCGGGCACAGGGCUCACCCUCCGCCCUCCCUCUGGUGGGUGGGCAGGCCGGGCUGUCUGGAGUGGGGCCCCUGGCUCUGAAUCAGAUGGAUUUGCUGCGUGGGGUUCUAGCUGGAGCACCAGCAGCCUCGGAUCUGGGCUCCCGGGAGGGAUGUCAGUCGGCAGCUCACGGCCUUGGGGUUAGGGAGCCAUUACCCUGGAAGAGGAGGGCCUGCCUCUGAGGGAGGAGGGCAGCCUGGGGGCAGGAUGACGCAGCGGUGCUGCUGGCUCCCCCAAAAGGCUGGGGCCUGGGUCUGCACCGGGCUGGGUGCUGCUGGCCACCUGAGCGACGAGAGUCCGUGUCACCUGGUGGAGCUGUCCCCGGACCUGCAGCACUGUGUUGGUGGGCAGUCAGGCCGCCUUCCUGGGUGGCUGGAAUCUGCCUCCUGGCCACUGCAGUGGGUGUGUGGGAGCUGUAGGAGGGCUCGGGCUGCUCCCUGCAGGCCUGGAGCAGCCAGUGACCCCGGAACCCGUUCCUUCCUGCCACGUCUCCAGGACAUAGGCAUCAGAAAGCAAGCGGCUGAGCCAGCAAGAGACCGUUGCGGACAAGUGAGGGGGUCUGCCAUCCACAGUGGCAUGCCUGCACUCCCCUCCUGCUUCAGGGGGACUGUCCUGGGGCCUUCACAGACCCCCAAUCACACUGUGUCCCCACCUGCCAACCUGCCAGAGCAGGUUCUCCCCCACUGCAGGUCUGUUUGCCCCCUCUGGCCCCUAGGAGGAGUCACGUUAUGUGGGGUCCCCACAAUGGGCUCAUUUUGUCCCUUUGAGUCUUCUCAGGGGACACCUUGCAAAUGGGGGCGAUUCCGUGGGAUCAGGGUGGUAUGCACCAUGCACUGCUGGGUGGAUCCUGAUGCUCACCCACUGGCACAUGGGAGCAGUGCCCUCUCCUCCCACUGUGAGCUGCUACGUGGGAGCCCUGGAUGCGGGGUGGUUGGAGUCUUGCUGAGGCUGAGUCCUCGUGGUGGUGACGUUCAACAGCCACAACGGUUUUCUAAAUGAGAGGCUGUCUCCUGCAGGCUGAGAAAAAACAGCCCCACCCCUCGGGUCCAGACCCAACGCCCCAGGCUGAGUGGCUCUUGCUGGCAGCUGUGGGCUGCAGGGCCGAGGAUUGUGAACUGCACAGCAGACCCAGGCCCCAGUCCCACCUAGGCAGGGGUCUAUGCCCACCCAGGGUUCAGGAGACCGGCAGGGAACGCACUGCUGCAGAUGGUCCUCUAGGGGUUUGUUUUGUCUGAAUGCCCACUGCAAGGCUGCGUGGCUGUGGAGGCAGCGGCCCAGUGCCAGGGCAGGUGUCUGGCGGACCUGGCUGGAGCAUGGGCCAUUUUGUUUCUGUCACUGCCCUGUGGGCCGAGGGACCCUGAGUCCAUCGGGAAGGGGGUUAGUGCUCCGUGGGCUGGUCCAGGGAGUGUGAGCGUGCACACAGUGUGAGCCCAGGCCCCUGAGUCCAUCAGGAAGGGGGUUAGUGCUCCGUGGGCUGGUCCAGGGAGUGUGAGCAUGCACACAGUGUGAGCACAGGCCAUGAGUGUGUUUGCAGCAGGAGCACCUGUAUGGUGGGUGUGCAUGUGACGGUGGUGAGACAGGGACCAUGGGUUUAGGCAGAGUAGGGUGAGGGCCUCCGGAAAAUGACCCCUACCAAAACUCUGUAUUGAAUAAUUAAGCAAAGUCAGAGUCACAUUAAUUCUUUAAAGUAAAAUAUCAAACUAGGAAUAUAAGCAUUCUUAGUGAAAUUAGUUAAAACCAAAAAGCCAGGAAUAACUUGGCCUGGAAUGUUUGAAUAUCCCCCAGAUAAGAGAACAUCUCCGUAUAGCCCAUGUCUUCGUUGUUUCAGUUAAAUCAGGCUAUUGUAAAAUUUACUUUAGCCUGCUAAAAGGCCCAGCUUAUUUUCUGAUGCUGCUUUUCUUCCUCCAGCCCUAAAUCAAAUGAUUUGCAACCUGGGCAAUUAAAAAUGGCAAGCAAACCCAGUCAUAAACAACAUAAUAAAAACAGGAAGGACUCCAUCUUAAAGAUAAGAUUGCAUUUUAAAAUCCAAGAAGUCAAAAAAUAAGUUUCUUGACAUAACAGACAACUCAGCCCUCCUUGGGAGCAGGACAGGCAGUCUUGAUUGAUGUGCUCCCAGACCAAGAAGCUGCUCUUCGGCGAAAGAAUCAGCAGUGAAUUUCUUGUGUUAAUAACUGCAAAAUAACCCAGACGACUGAUAAUAAACUUAGUGUCUCUUCAAAAAUAAACAUUUGGGGACCAUCUGGCAGGUCAGCAUCCCCAGCCCUCUGCCUCUCAACUGCCUGUAAAACCCCUAAGCAAGG